rnacentral:rRNA from 1 species
AUUGAACGCUGGCGGCAGGCCUAACACAUGCAAGUCGAGCGAGCGGCGGACGGGUGAGUAAUGUAUGGGGACUGCCCGCUAGAGGGGGAUAAAUCCUGGAAACGGUAGCUCAUACCGCAUACUAUCUGAUCACCCACAUGGGAUUCGCUCGUAGGUGAGGUAAGGGCUCACCUCGGCGACGAUCCCUAGCUGGUCUGAGAGGAUGAUCAGCCACACGGGGACUGAGACACGGCCCAGACUCCUACGGAGGCAGCAGUGGGGAAUAUUGCACAAUGGGCGCAAGCCUGAUGCAGCCAUGCCGCGUGUAUGAAGAAGGCCCUAGGGUUGUAAAGUACUUUCAGUCGGGAGGCGUUACCGACAGAAGAAGCACCGGCUAACUCCGUGCCAGCAGCCGCGGUAAUUC